rnacentral:rRNA from 1 species
UACGUAGGGUGCAAGCGUUAAUCGGAAUUACUGGGCGUAAAGCGUGCGUAGGCGGUUCUUUAAGUCCGUUGUGAAAUCCCCGGGCUUAACCUGGGAAUGGCAGUGGAAACUAGGGGACUUGAAUUUGGCAGAGGGGGGUGGAAUUCCACGUGUAGCAGUGAAAUGCGUAGAGAUGUGGAGGAACACCGAUGGCGAAGGCAGCCCCCUGGGCUGAGAUUGACGCUGAGUGCACGAAAGCGUGGGGAGCAAACAGG